rnacentral:lncRNA from 1 species
AAAGGUUUAGUGGUGUGAACAAAUCACGUCCCUUCCUCACGUUCCCCUUUCACUCCACAUUGGAGUUGUUAAUAUUUUACCCAAAAGACGAUACUUUCCCCAUUAUUAUGGGGGAACACCAAUUCACUCACCUGGAGUCAGUUUCAGAGAACUCUGCUUUCACGCCUGAUGUGCAGAAGCAGCAGAAUAUUCAAGGCAAGAAUCAGGAAGGGCAGAUGCCACUUCCUGCCCAAACCCCUCCCUCUCAGCUGAGCUGGGAGCUCGGGUGAAGACUCAGGUGCCCUCAGUUGCAAGAGGGUGGGGUCCCAUCCUGCUUCUUGCUAUAAGAGCACAGAGCAGCCCACCCUUUGCCUGGUGCCUUUCGCCAUGGUGCUCAGGCAGAGAGGAGGUUCUGGGAGUCUCCCAAGCUGCCCUAGGGCAGCCUGGAGGUCGUUUUAUCUCUUCUUCACACUUGUGACUUCAGUGAAUGCAGUGGACCGUCAACAGAUGGUGAACCCUGCCUUCCCAGGUACUGUCACUUGCAAUGAAAAUGAACUAACAGUUGAGUUUUCAAGAAGUCUUGGCACCAAGAAGUGGCAUGCAUCUGUGGUGGAUCCCUUUGGUGAUGAAAUGCCGAACUGCACUUAUGCCCUGGACUCAGAAAAGCUCACCCUGAAGGUCCCAUAUGAGACGUGUUCCAGGAGAGUGGUAAGUAAUUAUUUCUGUGGAGUGAUUUGGGAAGUAAUAAGCUAGUAGUUACUGUAGUCAACUUGGUGGCUAAGGAUUUCGGUUUUGGUGUAGAGCAGUGGUUCCCAACCAGAGG